ensembl:misc_RNA 7SK 7SK RNA
GGAUAUAAGGGUGAUUUGAUGGCGACAUCUGUCAACCCACUGAUGGCCAGGUUCAAUUCAGCUGAGCUGGCUCUGUAGGCCGGCGUUACUUUCCUCUUUCACUGCUCCAUAUGAGUCCCUCCUGAACAGACUGAGAGACAGAUUGGUCUUUAGUCAAGAGUAUAUGAGUAGCUUCACUCCUCUUGCUAGAACCUUCAAACAAGCUCUCAAAUAGGUCCAAACACAACUCUUAAGUGGUUGGAGUGAUGUCACUGAGACAUUUAGGUGGGUGAUAGUUAUGCCCUCAGGCCU